ACAGUAGCAACGAUAGCGAGAGAAAGGAAAAU
rnacentral:scRNA from 1 species